UUAAAUUUCUGUUUAUUAAAUAAUCAGAGUGUUUUUUGGCUUCCUGGUUAGGUCUACUGAUACAUCAGCAAAGCCUGGGAAACCUCAUGUUUUGGUCAGCUAUUGCCGCAACGGUGCUGCAUAACAAGCUCCACGACUACAGAGCUGAACGGCACAGAGUCUCUUCUUACAUUGAUGGAUUAACUUCCAUCAGAUGCUAAAGACUUUUUGGAUGCUCAAGGAGACAGGAGACUAGUGUGGGCUAGAGAACAAAGAGGUAACAGCCUUCCCUCCAAUAUAAUGAAAUGGCUUUUCAUUUCUUCUUUGAGGCCUCAAAAUUAUAAGGUAAGUAGAUUUUUUUUUUUGCAGAAUGGCUGCAUUAGGAUCAUCAAGUCCUAAGCAUCUCUCUGUGAAUACAGCAGCUGUAUUCUAAGUGGGGCAAGGCAUGGCCCAUCCUCUACUUUAGAAUCUUGGGGGCCUUUAUGGAAGCUUCAUCAUGUAGGCAAGGUCCACUAUUAACUCAGUCUCUAGCCCCGCUUCCCU
rnacentral:lncRNA from 1 species